AGAGGUGCACGGCAGGAGGAGGAGGAACCCCCCGGCCCCGUCCCGCUCCUGCCGAGUUCGGAUUUGGCUGGUGGAGAGGAGGAAAAAGGAGGUUUUGUCAGAAGGAAGACCUCAUGUCAACUACUGCAGAAGUAGUUAAACCAAAACCACCUUUUCCCUUGUUGCUGAGAGACAACACUUUAUAUGUUAUAUGGUAUUUUCUUCAGACUUUCAAAAACUCAGGUGGGCUUUGGAGAACACAGGAGGAUGGAUCCAAGGACAACCCUUUCUCAAAUGUCUGAAAAGCCAAGGGAAGAGACGAAGCUGGGAAAGAGUUAAGCUGAAGGGCCAGGACCAAAUGGGGUACAGGACACUUGGGAUACACUGUUGUAGGAGCUUGUAUUAAAAGUACUCUUAAGAGGCCUCUUCCUGCAUUACAAGUGUCUAUUGGAGUUUUGCUACUGAUUUAAUAAAAAUAUCGGAUGCUAGGACAGUCAGUAGCUCAAGCUCUUUUGAGCUAGACUUUGGAUGUAAAAUUUAAAACCAGGGAUCAGUGGAUAUUUACUGUGUUACACUGUAUUUCAGUCUGGAUUUGUAGCUUCAUUCUCUGCAGUAUCUUUGUUCACAUGUAUUGUUUUGCAUUGUAAUUUUUCACUUUUGCAUAUAUGUUGUCCUUUUCUAUACAUUGACAUUUCUGUACUUACUGUUGCAAAAUUAUUUGCUUUACCAAAGUCUUUCCAUAUAGUUUCACUUAGUUUUAUUCCUUGAUGCAUAUUCUCUAGACAAGACAUUCAUCAAAUGGUUGGUUUACUUUCCUUACCAUAUUCAUAUCUCUAAAACUUUGUCACAUUUUGUGAGGUUUUAUUAUUUGGGGAGGUGAGAGAACUGUGGGUAUUAAAGAACAUUAAUCUCU